UACAGAGGUCUCAAGCGUUGUUCGGAUUCAUUGGGCGUAAAGAGCGCGCAGGCGGUCGUUCAAAGUCGCGUGUGAAAGCCCCCGGCUCAACUGGGGAGGGUCACGCGAUACUGCUCGACUUGAAGGCAGGAGAGGGAAGUGGAAUUCCCGGUGUAGUGGUGAAAUGCGUAGAUAUCGGGGAGGAACACCAGUGGCGAAGGCGACUUCCUGGCCCUGUUCUUGACGCUGAGGCGCGAAAGCUAGGGUAGCAAACGGG
rnacentral:rRNA from 1 species